rnacentral:rRNA from 1 species
GGAAUUGUUCGCAAUGGGCGCCAGCCUGACGACGCAACGCCGCGUGGAGGAUGAAGGGCUUCGGCUCGUAAACUCCUUUCGACCGAGAUGAACAUCCACGGGGUUAAUACCCCUGUGGACAGACAGUAUCGAGGGAAGAAGCCCCGGCUAACGCCGCGCCAGCAGCCGCGGUAAUACGGGGGGGGCCAGCGUUGUUCGGAAUUACUGGGCGUAAAGGGUUCGUAGGUGGCCAACUAAGUCAUACGUGAAAUCCCUCAGCUUAACUGGGGAACUGCGUCUGAUACUGGUUGGCUCGAGUGCAGGAGAGGAACGCGGAAUUCCAGGUGUAGCGGUGAAAUGCGUAGAUAUCUGGAGGAACACCGGUGGCGAAGGCGGCGUUCUGGACUGUAACUGACACUGAGGAACGAAAGCCAGGGGAGCAAAC